rnacentral:rRNA from 1 species
UACGGGGGAUGCAAGCGUUAUCCGGAAUCAUUGGGCGUAAAGCGCCUGUAGGUUGUUUAAUAAGUCUGUUGUUAAAGACUAGGGCUCAACCCUAGAAAAGCAAUGGAAACUGUUAGACUAGAGUAUGGCAGGGGUAGAGGGAAUUUCUAGUGUAGCGGUGAAAUGCGUAGAUAUUAGAAAGAACACCGGUGGCGAAAGCGCUCUACUGGACCAUUACUGACACUCAGAGGCGAAAGCUAGGGUAGCAAAAGGGAUUAGAUACCCCUGUAGUCCUAGCCGUAAACGAUGGAUACUAGAUGUUGUAUAUUAUUUACAGUAUCGUAGCUAACGCGUUAAGUAUCCCGCCUGGGGAGUACGCUCGCAAGGGUG